rnacentral:misc_RNA from 1 species
GAUGAAGAACGCAGCAAAAUGCGAUAAGUAAUGUGAAUUGCAGAAUUCAGUGAAUCAUCGAAUCUUUGAACGCACCUUGCGCUCCUUGGUAUUCCGAGGAGCAUGCCUGUUUGAGUGUCAUUAAUAUAUCAACCUUCUCUUUUUUGAGUUGUUUGGAUGUGGGGGUUUGCUGGCCUCUUAAAUGAUUCAGCUCCCCUGAAAUGCAUUAGCAGAACAACCUGUUCAUUAGCGUGAUAAUUAUCUAUGCUAUUGAAUGUGAGGGCAGUUCAGCUUUCUAACCGUCCUUGGACAAUUCAUCAUUAAUGUGACCUCAAAUCAGGUAGGACUACCCGCUGAACUUAAGCAUAUCAAUAAGCGGAGGA